UCAGAAAUCAUCUAAAACAAAUGUAAUAAUAAUCAUAACUAAACUUAACAAAUUGCCUUUAUUACUACCGGUUCUAGUAUUACGGCGUACUGCAGUUCUGCGUGUGGUUUGGCCAAGUGAAGUUGUCGGGCCCCAGCAGAAGACGUUGCUGGACUGCUAUGGUGAUGUCAUCAUGAGCAAAAGGAAGGGUGGCAGUGACAUUCGUCAGUUUUUUGGACCUCAGAAAAGAAAGAUACCUUGUAACUGGUGAUUAUUUCAAAACAAUGACCUACAGUUACCGUGUUGGGUGACCAGGGCCACCUGGAGGAAUUCAGGUGUGUGAAGGCUACCUAUGUCCUUCAUAACUUCAUGAGGAUGAACACGAGGUGCAGAAGAUCUGCAGCUCACCCCCAUGUGCCAGAGGAGAAGUCUGCUGUUCUGCAGAAUGUUUCAAGGAUGGUGUCCAACAACGCAGCAAGAGGCAAUCUGUGUGCGGGAGAUCUUCACCUCCUACUUCUUCGAAGAGGGUGCUGUUCCCUGGCAACACAAUAGAAUACACUAUGCACAACCAAAGGCUCUUUUAAGACUCAUCCAUAUUGCAAUAAGAGUAUUCUUCCAUUUACUUAGCUAUGUCAACUGCAGUUUCAAUUUCCAUUUUCUCUCCCUUUGAUUUCUACUUCUCAGGUGAGGGUGCUGUGUAGGUAAGGGUGUGAUAUGUGUACAACAGAACAGGUUAUUUUAAGUCACCCAUAUUGAAAAAAAUGUAGAACAAGUAGACACCCUAUAACCCACACCUACACAUGUAUCAAUCUGAUUGUGUUGUGCAGUAAGCAGGCUCAGGUGUAUAACUGGCUCCUUCCACCUUCAAAGAAUAGGCAAAAGGGCCAACCAUGGAGAACAGUAAGACACUUCAUUAUUUCUAUGCUAUAUUGUUUGUCCUCGUGUCUGCAUGUUUUUCAGUAUAAAGUACUCUGCAGCCACUUAGUGUGGACACCAGGUGAGGCCACAAGCACAUAUUCCUGUUGAACAAUGUCUCUAACUACCUUAUUUUCUUAAGUCUCCUUCACUUCAUCCCGCUCUCCCCUUCUCCUCUAGGUUAUAUCAGCUGUCGGUCACUUGGUCAGGUCAACAGGAAGUAUUAUUAAAGAGAUGCUUCACAUUGAAAUACAGAGAGAUGCAGUAGUCCCAGAGUUAAUGAUCCAAGGUCAAUUUUUUGCAUUUCGCCUUCUGAUGAUUGAUACCUGACAGUGUUCGAAUAGAAAAAUAAAAAACAAGGCUUAAACAUCUCUCCAUCUGUCUCUCGUCUGCAGGUAUGUUUUUUUUUAUGUGAGAGAGGUGCCAACCCCCAGUCCCGUCAUCGCUACCUCAACCGCUCUUAAGAUAACCUUCGGGUCGACAUAGCUAGGUUCUGAACUAAUAUGUAUACCAAACGUUAGACAGAUCAGCUACAUAGCUAGGUUCUGAACUAAUAUGUAUACCAAACGUUAGACAGAUCAGCUACAUAGCUUCACAUCAUAGGCAUACAGGUUUUUUAAAUUCCCCAUUUCACAAUAAGCAAGAAAUAAGUUAACUAGUUUAUUUCAUCUAUCUGUACUGCAUGGCAAAUAUCAGGCAAGCUUACACAAUUGUACAUUAAAUGUGCAGUAAAUGCUUUAGCUAGCUAGAGUCUUCACAUCCACUGUUUCACAAGACGACUGCCUGAUUUUGGUUUGUUGGUUGUUUCAGAGUCCAUACAGCCAGAAUGACAAUUUCAUACUCAUGUCACAACACCCAUAACGCUAGCUGGCUAAUGUUAGCCAGUCAAAUCGCGAUUUUCGUGAAUAAACUUUAUGACAAAAAAUGCAUAAUCAUUUGUCUCUACAUUAACUGACAUUCCUGUCAACUGUACUUUUUUUUUUUUUUGCAUGAUUCGUUAUGGCGUUAUAAUCACUUACAUUUGCUUCCAUCCUAGUAUUUCUGCCAGCCAUCUUUGCUAAAUAAAGUAUCCAGCCUUGGGUCGCAUAGUGUCAAAUUCGUCAUGGGAGCCACUCGAUAUGAUUGGUCACCGCUGCUGACUUUCCAUACAUUUGGGAAAAGUUUAUUUAUCACCGCCUCCCACGCCACCUUUGCACCGCCCAAAGGACCCACGACCUCUCCGGUUCUCACCGCUCCCCCCCCACUUUGAAAUGAAUGGGAAGUUGUGUUUCUCCGCUC